GAGGGUGUAGCUCAAUGGUGGAGCAUGUGCUUAGUGUGUAUGGGGUCCUGGGUUCAACUCCCAGGACCUCCA
rnacentral:tRNA from 1 species